rnacentral:lncRNA from 13 species
AUCCUCCUUCCCAUUUCUGCCUUGAAUAGGCAGUCAUUAUGAUGAAGCCAGGCUUGUUUCAGAAUUCCAUGAGAACCACAGUGUCAGGCUGUGACAACUCUGGGGCUGGAAAUGGAAAAGGCUGUGAUCUGGGGUUGGCUGGCACUGUCCCCGUGAGUCAUUAUGGAAACACUGUCCCCGGAUGCUGCUGAGAGGACUGGGUUUCUGAUCGCAGCUCACUGCAACCUCCGCCUCCUGGGUUCAAGCGAUUUGCCUGCCUCAGUCUUCCGAGUUGCUGGGACAACAGGUGCACGCCGCCACGUCUGGUUGAACACUUUCUGGCUUACAGUAGGGGCUCAGAAGUUUGUGGAAGAAAUCAGUGAAUGACCACACAUGUAACUAUUAUUUAUGUUGGUACACGUAGGUUAUGGAGGUGCUUUAAAUGACCUUGAAUAAGGCUAUCUUACUCAAGGUUAUCAUCUUUUAUGAUAACCUUUUAUCAUCAACUUUUAUAUACAGGAAAAUUGAGGUUUGGAGAGGUUGAGCAAUUUGCCCAACAUAACACAUGCAGGAAAUGGUAAGAGAUGUGAUUUAAACAGGAACUUUUGACUCCAAAAUUUGUGGUCAUUCCUUUUCAGUCACUCCCAGAUUUGUCU